rnacentral:lncRNA from 1 species
CGCAGAUCGACAGGGACAAAGCAUCAUUUUUUAUGGCUGCAAUGGUUGCAUAGAUAAGAUUCAGUCGCCCGCCGUCCGCGUCGCCGAGCAGGCACUACACCAAUUGCGCAUUCGAUGCAAUCCAAUACUAUCAACGUCAAUAAGACAGUGAUUAUCAUUUAUUUGUUUACUUCACAAUUUGUUCAUAAUUGAAAAAGUAAUAAAAAUCGAUAGAUAAACGAAUUGAGCUCAGCAAUAAUACAUAGGUACAUUGUGGUCAAUGGAUGCAGUGUAAUGAAAACAGUGAAAAACCAAGACCGCGUGGUAUCGUCGCAUCCACGCCGCUAGUACGACUCCGCAAAACCUUCGUGUCUGAUCCACUGAGACUACGUAAUGGAGGCGGCAGAUCGUUCCAGCACUUGGACGCGGCGAACCUGAAACUCCCGCGGAAGGCAGUAGUACGGUGACGCGGUAUUGCCAGUGAGUAAUACGUCGAGCGAGUUUUGUACGACUUCACGUCACGUGACCACACCAAUUUCUCAGCGAGAUACGGCGGCGUAUGAUGUUUCACUACACCAAACAAGAGCGUUGCAAGAUGUAGUUGUCUCCGUGCAUUCAUCUUCAUAAUAUUGGCAUUGUUUAUAAAUGGCGUGACGUGUGUGCGUGGUGGUAUAUUGAAGCAAAAUCGUGCGCAGGCAUUUUGAACUCUUUGUAUGAGUUUUUGUGACCGGGUAAGGAGUCGCGGACCAUAUACUACAUCCAUAUAGUUAAAUUUCGACAUAACGAGAGUGUCGCAAAGUUUGAUGCGGGUCUCAGUAUUAAUAUAGUUCCUGAUUUGGUAUAAUGUCUUGAGACGAUAAAAACAA